AACCUUUUGUCUUUGCAACCAAGCACUUGUGGAUUACUGCUGUUGCUACCAGGGAGACGACAAUCGAAGUUGAAGGGAUUUACUAGCCGAGGAUACAAUGAAGACAUUUAUUUUGGUUUGUGGCUGUUUGCUGGUGGCUUUAGCACAAGCUGACAUAAGUGAGAAAUUAUCGGAG